CCAGACAAUCUCUGGCGCUGUUCACCAGUUUGUCAGAGUCUGUUGUCUUGAUAAGAUUUCACCAAAAAAUAAACGUUUUGUCUCAUCAUCUCCUCAGUUAAUAUUUUUGUGUCCGUCGUAGUGAAUCUCGUCGUCGUCGUUGUCGUCUAAUUCGCCAUCGUCGUUAUUGUAACGUCCCAACAACAAAAAAAAAAUUGUGGUGUGGUGUUUUUGGCUUCUUACGUGAUUGCGUCCUUGAUAUUGCACUAAAACAACAACAAAAACCAAAAAUUAUAAUUGCAACAAAAAAAAAAAAAAUAAAUAAAUAACUCAUAAAAUCUUGGGGAUAUAUUCUUUUAUGUUGUCUCUGGAGUAACCAUCCGUUGUGCUGUAAUUAAACAAUUUUCUUUUGGCAAAAGCAACACAUUUUUUUGUUGAAGCUAAAUUAUUGCAUACAUUUAAGUGUGACGUCUAGAAAAAGAAAAUAUUAAAAAAAUUAAAAUUUAAAACAAUUUUGGCGAAAAAAACAAUAAUAAUUUUGGUUGAUAACUGAUUGUACUGUCAUCGUCUGUGAGCUUUGUCUUUGUCUUACGUUCUCUAUUUUGCGAAAAAAACUCAGCUUAAUUUUCCUCUCUCUUUCGGCGAUAAGCUUCAAAGUUAUUACAUUUGUGUUGGUAUUUAAUUUAUUUGUAAGCGUACAUAUUCGUAGUUUUUGCAAAAUUUUACGUGUUGUAACCAAUUAAAAAUAAUAAAAAAUACCAAAAACAAUAAAUAUUUAUUGGAUUAAUAUUUCGCGAUCAGAUGAAAAUUGGAUUUGUGGAGUUCGUUGUGUAAAUUGGCUAAAUUGAAAUCUUUUUCUUGGGAAUUUUUGGCAAAAUUGAAAUCAUAUUCUUUGGAAUUGGAUUGGACGAAGGGUCGUGUGUGGCCAAGAGGUAUUCCUUCCAAACGAGGGUAUAAAAAAUUUGGCCGGCCAUGAAGAAGGAAACGAAAUAUGCACAUAGCUCAUUCUGAAGAUUUUCAUAGAAUCACUUUUUGAGUCGAUUUAUGGAUGUCCGUCCGUUAAUCUGUCCACAUACAGGGUGAGAUGAAACAACUGCAACCAAAUUGAGAUUGCUGUAAUUCCUAAGCCACUCGUCCGACAAUUGUUAUAAUUAUUCCAGUAACAGCUCAUUAUAAUGUUUACAAGCGUACAAAAGCGUUUUGGUGAGAAUUUUCCAGAACAAAAGUUAUUCGCUAUGGAAUUCAAGCGUGAUAGUGUGAUUUUUUUAUAUUUGGCUGGAAAACCACAAAUGGCUAUCGUUAUAGCACUGAAGCAUUUAAAUGUGAAUAAGUCUUUUGUGUCUCGUACCAUCGCUCGUUACCGUGAUACUGGUAGCGUAGCCCGACGUCAAGGAAGUGGACGGAUGAAAACUCCAACAUCAGCAGAAAUGGUUCGAAAAUAAAGAAGCGACUUGAUCGAAACCAGCGCCGCAGUGGCCGAAAAAUGGUCGAUGAGCUGAACAGAUCGCAAUAUUCCAUUCGGCAAAUAUUGAAAAAUGAGCUCGGGGUAAAAGUCCAAGAACUUACACCGCAACACAACGAAAAUACACUCAAAAGAGCAAAAGAGUUGCUUCGCUUGGCCGAAAGUGGUGAACUGCCGAAUUUGGUUUUCUCCGCUCCGAUGAGAAAACGUUCGUUGUCCAGCAGUUUGUAAACAAACAAAAUGAUCGUGUUUACUUGCCAAAGAGGCCAAUGUGUCAAAGAGCUGAAAAUGUGCACCUUCGGUUGGCCACCAAAACUCAAGCGCCGGCCAUGGUGAUUUUGUGCCAUAACAGCCGAAGGUCACUCUCCGCUCGUAUUAAUCGACCGUGGCACAAGAAUAAAUGCCGAAUAUUAUCGCGAAAAUAUUCUGGAGGAUGUAUUAAAGCCUUGGGUACGCAAACAUUUUGGCCGCAGGCCUUGGACAUUCCAACAGGACUCAGCACCAUCGCACUCAGCACGCGCCACCCAAGAAUGGUUACAAAAUUAAGCUCGUCGCUUAAUUUCCAGCGCACAAUGGCCACCAAAAUCUCCGGAUACCAAUCCGUUGCACUAUUGUGUCUAGAGUAUUCUGGAAUGCAAGGUUGGACCUAAAAAAUACCAAAGUGUCACCUCAAGCAAGCGCUUCGCCGUGCUUUUGCCAAAAUACCGCAGAACAACAUUCAGGCAUCGUGUGACAAUUUCAUUGGCCAUUUGAAGGCCAUAAUUAGUGCCAAAAGGUGACCAAUUCGAACAAAUCUAAACAUAUUUUAA